rnacentral:rRNA from 1 species
GAUGAACGCUGGCGGCGUGCCUAAUACAUGCAAGUCGAGCGAACAGAUGAGGAGCUUGCUCCUCUGACGUUAGCGGCGGACGGGUGAGUAACACGUGGAUAACCUACCUAUAAGACUGGGAUAACUUCGGGAAACCGGAGCUAAUACCGGAUAAUAUAUUGAACCGCAUGGUUCAAUAGUGAAAGACGGUUUUGCUGUCACUUUAGAUGGAUCCGCGCCGCAUUAGCUAGUUGGUAAGGUAACGGCUUACCAAGGCAACGAUGCGUAGCCGACCUGAGAGGGUGAUCGGCCACACUGGAACUGAGACACGGUCCAGACUCCUACGGGAGGCAGCAGUAGGGAAUCUUCCGCAAUGGGCGAAAGCCUGACGGAGCAACGCCGCGUGAGUGAUGAAGGUCUUCGGAUCGUAAAACUCUGUUAUUAGGGAAGAACAAAUGUGUAAGUAACUAUGCACGUCUUGACGGUACCUAAUCAGAAAGCCACGGCUAACUACGUG